rnacentral:misc_RNA from 1 species
UCUUUAUCUUUAUGGAUAACCAAUUCAUUUUCAAAUAUAGUUGGGAAACUCUCCCCAAGAAAUGGGUAAAAAAAAUGGAAAGAUCGGAACAUGGGAAUAGAUUUGAUACCAAUUCGGAUUACCUAUUUCAAUUGUUGUGCUUUCUUAAAUUGCAUACCUAUACAAGGGUUCAAGUUUUGAUCGAUAUUUGCGGAGUUGAUUAUCCCUCUCGAAAACGAAGAUUUGAAGUGGUCUAUAAUUUACUGAGUACUCGGUAUAACUCACGCAUUCGUGUACAAACCAGUGCAGACGAAGUAACACGAAUAUCUUCGGUAGUCAGUCUAUUUCCAUCAGCCGGCUGGUGGGAGCGAGAAGUUUGGGAUAUGUUUGGUGUUUCUUUCAUCAAUCAUCCGGAUCUACGCCGUAUAUUAACAGAUUAUGGUUUCGAGGGUCAUCCAUUACGAAAAGACUUUCCUCUGAGUGGAUAUGUGGAAGUACGCUAUGAUGAUCCAGAGAAACGUGUAGUUUCUGAACCCAUUGAGAUGACCCAAGAAUUUCGCUAUUUCGAUUUUGCUAGUCCUUGGGAACAGCGUAGCGACAGAUAAUUCAGAA